UGCCAGCAGCCGCGGUAAUACGGAGGGGGUUAGCGUUGUUCGGAAUUACUGGGCGUAAAGCGCACGUAGGCGGAUUAGUAAGUUAGGGGUGAAAUCCCGGGGCUCAACCCCGGAACUGCCUCUAAUACUGCUAGUCUUGAGUUCGAGAGAGGUGAGUGGAAUUCCGAGUGUAGAGGUGAAAUUCGUAGAUAUAGGAAGGAAUACCGGUGGCGAAGGCGGCCUCCUGGACCAAUACUGACACUGAGGCGCGAAGGCGUGGGUAGCGAACGGGAUUAGAUA
rnacentral:rRNA from 1 species